rnacentral:lncRNA from 11 species
CCGUGCCCCAAGGAGCCUACAGUCUGAACCUCAACUGUGGGAAGACGGCAAAGGAGAGAAAAGAGAAAGCAGAAAAACCCCUUCUAGGUGGAUAAACCCCUUCUCGUCCAGCCACAACCUGGAAAAUCUCAUGAGCUGAGCCAUGGCCCC